AAGGGCCCAUGGACCCAGGCCGCUGCGUUCGCCCGCCACUUUGCAGUGAGAAAGGCUGAGGAAGGCCCAACUGCGGGGCCUCUCCUGCAAAGCGGGAAUUAAAAACCGGCUCCUUCGGUUCCGGCAGCACACGUGUAAAUGGCACCAGUCGGGGACCGCAGGGAGAGGGGCUUUACGGGGCUCCUGCCUUUGGGAGCAAGGACGGGGAACGGCCAGGGCCUGUCGCGUCCUCCUCCAGCCUCGUGGCCGUGCUGCUUCGCGGGCGCUUGGCCCGAGUGUGAAGAUUUACUGGAUGUCUGGAGAGGAAUGGUGCUACCUGCAGGUUAACAGCCGCCUCCACCAUGACAGAAGCAGCUGUGAGCACGAGGAAGCGGUCCAGGAAUCACCUUGAAAACGUCAGGAAAGAUUAAAUAUGAAAAGACAGUUUUGGCCACCUACUCCCUUUUUACUUCUAUAAAACAGCAUCACAGGGUUUUACCUCAGAAUGAUCUUCUUCUAGCUCUCAAAUAAAAGAUAAAUCAC